AUUGAGAUCUCCAGACACAUAUUUCAGUUACACUGCUGUAGCGCUGUUAAAGUUUACAAAUAUAUCGGCAAAUUUACAACCUCACUUUCACCUUUAUCCUGCACUCGUCUCAUCUUUUCUCUCUUUCCCGCCACAUAAUCAGAACAGGGUGUGGUGUCCAGCCUCCCCAGAGCUGUCGUGUUCAUUGCACUCAGCCCAGGGAGAGUUUGGGACAGAGGAAUCCGAGCUUGAUGUCAGUCUGAACAGUAGUCGGGAUUAAAACGGCACCGGUGGUUCCCAGCCGGGGGAAGGGGAAGGGGGGGGUCAGACUAAGAUUCAUUUCUGAUUUUUGCGUGCGCCCCAGUAUCGAUCCAGAAAAAAGUGAUUCAGGGACACAGCUGUGGAUACAAUGAUCCUGCUCUAUGACAAUCAUGAACUUGCUUUGGAUGUAGAGCACAGUGUGUUUUGGGUUUCAUACAGGUGGUCAGAACAUUCAGCGUAUUAAGUUAUGGCGUUCAAAUUCAGUCACUACUCAGAAACGUAUGGACUGCUGAUAUGGCACAGGGAUCUGUUGUUGGACCCCUUUUAUUCUCAGCUAUAUAUAAACGUUAUACUUCUCUUACCUUUUGCUGAUGAUACAAACUUAUUUCUUUCACAUUAACACGUUUGUUAAAUUUAAUAUGACUGAACAAACAUUCUUUGUGUCUGUAAAUUGAAUUUAAUUAUUUACCCCCAAAAACUGCUUUAAAUCAAUUUCUGUUUUUUUAUUGCAAAUAAAUCAACUUCCCAGGACCCAUCUAGGACCCAUCUAGUCCCAUCUAGGACCCAUCUAGGACCCAUCUAGGACCCAUCUAGGACCCAUCUAGUCCCAUCUGAUGCCUGCACAAGAUGAAGAUCAGGGUCAACUAAAAUAUGGGGAUUCCACCUCAGAGGAACAUGAAUAUCCAGAAGUACGUAAGAACGACCAGUAAAGUAAGGCCACGCCACAAUCACAGCCACUGCUCUGAUGGAGGGCGGGCAGUGACGGCUCGAGCCUCAGACCAGGCCCCCGUCCAUGUUCCGCAGCCCGGUAGCUUCUAUGGAACAUAAAAAAUACCCCACAGAGUGGCCAGAGAGAAACAGCACACAAUCCGCCAGAACCUUCUGGAGCACGACUGGUGAACUCUAACGGACUCGCUGGAGUGGAGCUGUUUGGUGCCAUUCACGUAAGCUCCACGGGCCCCCUGGCCCCCUGGGACCCCGGGCCUGUGGUCAGUAGUCUCCUUCAGUAAUCCAUCCACGAUUCUGGGUUUGGGUCAGUUUCACAGCAUCAUGUGGGAGCAGGUCAGGUGGUCCAACAGCUAUUUCACUGCAUCAACGCCAUGACCUUCAACUGCUUGCUGCUGCACAAAGACUCCAGCAGCUCUACCCACAACCUGACCCAUCAUUAAAACUGGACUCAGAGCUGCUGCUGGGCAGUGAAGGCAAACUGCUGUCAGGGAUCAAUACUUCCAUCUAACACGUCCUGUGUGCGUCUCCUCCCUCUGAGCCACACGGCUCCACUGUGUCCACACACCAGUAAACCCAGCAGCGACCACAUGGCUCCACCUUGUCCACACACCAGUAAACCCAGCAGCGACCACACGGCUCCACUGUGUCCACACACCAGUAAACCCAGCGGCGACCACACGGCUCCACUGUAU